AUGGCGGUGCCACUGCUUGCUUGCUCGCUCGCUCCACAGGAGGCAGAACCACCAACAAAAAAAACAAGAGUCGAGAAUGCCCAGAUGCGGGCUGCUGCCGGCGUGCGUGCAGUCCAACAUUUGAUUUUUUUUGUUUGUUUGUGUUUUGAGGUGGUCGCGAUUCAUGGGGCACGGGCGUGCAGUGUGGCGCCCAUGUGCAUGCAGUCCGUGGAGAUGGGGUGCAGAACGACAAAUGGUGCAGUCCGCGGAGAUUUUGGUUGCUGUCCCAUGGGCGCACAUGUGCAGUGCUUGUGGGCUUAG
rnacentral:rRNA from 1 species